CAAUCCGCCGCCGCCGCCGCCGCUCGUCCCAGCCCCACCUUCACCUUCACCUCCAAGCGACGGCGGAGGAGCCCGAUCCAAUCCUCGCCUCCCUCUCCCCCAUCGCCGCCGCUCCACCACCGACGAGCCCCGCCAUCGACCCUCUCCCCCGCCGACGCCGCACUCCACUCUCCAGCCGGGACGCCCCUGGUCGACUCGGAGCAGUUAAGUUCAGGCGGCGCCCAGAUCCGCCAUGCCCGCGUUGGAUGCGCGCCGUCGUCCAGUUGUGCGAGCUGCGCCGGGAGAGGAGGACUUCUUCUCUCUCCACUCGGGACGGCCUUCUUCCGCUGCUCCGACCCACCCUGCUUGCUCGUGGUUGCGGACGACCUCAAGAUACGCUGCUCUUCUUCUCCCCGCCUGUGUGCGUGUGCCUGUGCGCGCGCGUGUGUGUAUGUGUGUGUGUGUGUGUGUGUGUGUGUGUGUGUCUGUGUGUCUGUGUGUUCGAUUCCAACCGUGGUUCCCUGAUUGAUUCGACACGCAGGGGACUCAUCUUCAACUCCGGCGAAUCCGGCCCUGCCCCUCAAGUGGAGCUGCAGAGGUCAGGUCCGUCACCAUCAGGCAGGAGGUCUCUGUCUCCGUUCAAGGGGCAGCAACUAGAUGGAUGAUGAAUGGUGUAUGAUGAUGGGUUGGAGUGGGAGCUGCUGAGCAAAUGAACCUGCGACAAGCACAUCGACCCGCUGCUGUACAUACACGUUGGUUCUACUCCCUUGCACGGCCGCAGAUCGAGCCAUAUAUAAUCAAAAGACUCGACAGCAGGGGCACGACAUUGACGGUGCGGAGGAGGUUGAGGACCAGGACAUGCCGAGAUCACGCGCCCGAGCUCGACGAGGCCAUCGUCUAGUCCAGCCCGACCAUGACGCUGCACCGCACAAGGUCCUCCACUGGCUCCCUGCAGCAGCAGGUGCACGACAUUGAUGACGUGGAGGAGGACGAGGACCAGGACAUGCCAGAAUCCCACGCCCGAGCUCGACGAGGAAAUCGUUGAGUCAAGCCCGACCACAACGAUGCACGGCACAAGGUCCUGCUCCCUGCCGGCAAUGUCUACCUGCAGCAGUAGGGACACAACAUUGACGCCGUGGAGGAGGACAAGGACCAGGACAUGCCGGAAUCCCUUGUCCGAGCUCGACGAGAACAUCGUCGAGUCCAGCCCAACCACGACGAUACACCGCACAUGGUUCUGCUCCUUGCCGGCAAUGACUCCCUGCAACAGCAGGGGUAGCUGGUGAUGUCGUAGGCGGAACCGAACGAGUCGACGGCGGCCUGUAGAUAGGGUUUUUGCCGAGGUAGUUCGGACUAGGACGCCAGCCUGGGGGCGGUUGAGCAGAUGACGACGCGGACGGCCCGGCGGCAGGAGCCGGCAUGGAAGGCGGCGCUGGUGUAGACAACAGAGGAGUACGAGCCGCAACAUGAAAGACCUUGGGGCAAGAGUCCUUGCGAGCUUGUGUUUCCACCGCGAGUUGUAGCAGGGAACGAACUUCAGCGAAGGUAGGAGCAGGCCGUAUCAUCGAUAUGAACGAGGCUUGCUUGUCAAAGUCUUCGCUGAGGCCGCCGACAACGAUGUUGAUUAGCUGUGAGUCGCUGACUGUAUCGCCGAGUUCGCGGAGCUCAUCAUCAAUGGUCUUAACGUGCUGGCAGAACAGGUUCACCGGGGCGUCUCCUUGCUGUUGGAAAUAUGCCCUAGAGGCAAUAAUAAAAGUAUUAUUAUUAUA